rnacentral:lncRNA from 1 species
AAACUACACAUCUUUACAAUCUUUUCAGGCACCCCUUUUUGCUGUUCCUCUGAUGAGAAAGGACAACCCAUAAACUCUGCCAAUUUCUUAAGAUACAAAACAAUAUCUUCAUUCAUUUCUUCAUAUUUCAAGAACAUAAACUUGUCCGGAUGUUCCAACCUUGCGUUCCAGUAUCCCAGAACAUGGUCCCAAUAAGGUCCGUACCAACUUACGCCUUCACAAAAUAACUCAAACGCUUCGUCAAGUUCAAUGGGUUGAGUGUUUUGGGAUUUUGCAUACCUGGUAAAGAGGUGAUACAUUGAAACAAAUGUAUCCUUGGGGUCCCUGCAAAUGUAAAUAAUUUUACAACCAGAAUCAAUUAUUGAUGUGGGUAAGAAAGAAUAAGGAGCAUGAGUGGCCAAGAGAGGAAUUCCAAGAUGUCGAUUAGCGGAAAAAUGGGCAUGAUCAAGCUCCAUGAAAGGCACAACAUCAUGAGGCAUCUUGAAAAGCAAAGGGGUGGUAGAAUCAUCGAAUGAAGUUCUUGUAAUAGUGGCGAAAGUGAGAGAUUUUAACCAGGCUGUGCCGGUUCUAGGAGCACUACAAAGUAUGAUAUCAGUGGGUUGAGCCUCAAACUGUUGUUGAGCUAACAUGACUCCUUGUAGGAAAGGUGGGGUGAGCCAAAAACCUUGAUACUGAUAUAGAUGAUCGGGAAGACCCCAGCUGUUCCCUUUAGGGAGAGUAGAAAUCAUCUCUUUGAAAGAUUUCUGAAACUCAUCUUCGUUAUCUUGCUCAACAUGGGAAUCAAAGUGGGAUUCCAUGAUUAAUGAGUGCAAGUAGUAUGGAAACAAUGGCUUUAUAUAUAGGCUGAAAGAAUUAAAAUCACAUACGCAAAUUUUUUGGACGUGGCGGUAGUGAAAGAGAUUGGGAGCGAGACGUGGAGGUGGUGGGUCCUGUCUUAGGGCAGUAGUCGGUCCUAAACCAGAAACAACCUCGUCAGCCUAAUGGGGGACUCCCAUUUAAUAAAAAUUAAUAAUUUUCAGUUAUUGGAUUAGUUUUAAGAUUUUACGCUAUUUUUUUUUUUUGACUAUAUUAGUUAGGUAAUUAUUCAAUAUACUGGAGGGUUUAAACUCCUUGUACAAGGUUAAAAAGUUGGCAUGGGUUUCAUUUUCUAUAUAAUUAAUUUUUAUUUUUUUACUAUAAUUUUAUAUACAUGUUAUCCUCUUAAUUUUGCUGGUAGAGUUCAAUAACUUCACUAGCUAUAUAGAAUUAGAAAUUAUAUUAGGCAUGUGAAAAUUACAAAUAUAUUUUUAAAAAUAAUAUACAAUAAAUCAUAAAUAUAUAAUUUAAAAUUAAUUAAUAAUAACAUAUAAAAUAUAUACAUUGUUUUACUAUAUCAGUUACGUAAUUAUUCAAUAUAUCUGAAAGAGUUGGGCAAUUUACUAAUAAAAGCUUUUUUUUUAAUUAUCGAAAUGAGCCCAUUUUUUAAUUAUUUACCGGAAUGGUCCUUUUCCGGGAAAUCGUGUCCACGUCAGCACGAUGUCAGGGUACGCGUCAGGAAAUCGCGUCCACGUCAGCAUCUCGCGCUGACGUGGACGCGAUUUCGGCCCGCGCGUGAACAAUACCCAAUGGUCAAAAAAAUAAAAUACCGGGCCCAUUUCGAUAAAUUUUAAAAAUAUAAGGUUUUUUUGGUAUUUUAAAAAAAUAAAUUUUGAAUCUUUUUGUACUUGUAUUUAUUUUUUUAAUCAAUUAACUCUUCAAUAUUACAUCAAUAGCAACAAGUACAAAAAAGAUUCAAAAUUGUUACCAACAAGAUUUGAACCAAGGUACUAAGGGAAAAGAGCAAUCAUCUUAACCAACUAAGCUAAACUAAUUAAUUAACAUAUUAUAGAAAUACUGUUAUUAUCUUAAUUAUAUUACUUACGUUCUAACGAUUUAUCGGACCUAUUCCAUUCACGUGUCAAAUCAAAAAAAAUAAUACAACAAUUCUGUAAAAAAAAAUCUGGUGUUUACUUCAAAUAAAUAAGGAAAAUAAUGAUUUGAAUGUUUCAAAAUUCAAUUUUAAACUGAAAAAAUCAAAAUUUAGGGGCAAAAAAGGAUCUUUUUCGACGAAAACUGCGGCAAACCGCCUUCGGCUGUUUGUCAGCGCGUAGAUCUCGAAAAGUUAUUCGAAAUAAAAAAAUUUGUCUCAAUCGGACAACCGAGCCAAAAGUUAUGGCCUUUCAAAGUUUUCCAAGCUAAAAAACAUAAACUGUUCAUCCACGUCAGCAAAUUGCGUCCUCGUACGCGCGAUUUGUGUCCACAUAAGCAAAGCGCGCUGACGUGGACACGAUGUUCUGACACGUCCCCUGACAUCGCGCUGACGUGGAUGCGGUUUCAGGGAAAAUGACUCAUUCCGAUAAAUAAUAAAAUACCGGGCCCAUUUCGAUAAAUUUUAAAAAAAUAGGGCUUUUUUUGGUAUUUUGCCUUAUUCUUAAAAAAAACGUAAAAAUAUGGAAUUUCUAACACAAAAUAUUCACUAACCUAACUUUAUUAUUUAUUUUACCACACUAACCUAACCCGGUAUUUUAUUUUUUUGUAUAAAUUAUUCUUUAUCUUUUUACCAUACUCCAUAAUCAUCACAUGUUAUCUUCUCAAUUUGUAGGUUUUAACAACUUCACUAAGCUUUAUACGGAAUGCUUUUUUAUAUUAGUUUUAAAUUUUAAAUUUUAAUAAAUAUGUAUUUUUAUUUCAUAUAAAUAAUAUAAAGUAGUGUUAUUCAAACUAUUGAACUUAAUUAAAAUUAUAAUGAAAUUCAAUUUAUUUUUUAAAUAAUUACCUAAUGAUUUAAUGAAAAUUGCUCCAUAUUAAAUUUCAACUUUAUAGUGAUAAGUUUUGUCUAUUGGUUGAUAAACUACACAAAAUUAAGGAUAGAAAAGAAAAGGAGUAUGGAAUUUAUAAUAUAAAAUUAUUUGAUAUAUCAACCUAGGGUCAGGCUAUUUAUUGUCCCAAGUGUGGCUUGGAUUUGAGUUGCUCUAGUUGCAUUAUUAUUAGGAUUUUACCCUCCUCUUAUAAUUCAUCGAAAAAAUAUUUAAUAUAUUAGUAAAAGUUAACUAAAAAUAUGUUGUCACUGUACCAAGUGCAUAACAAGGUAUAGUAAAAAAAUUAAUUACAUAAAUAAAUGUGAUACUUGUCACACCUUCAAAUAAUUAGCCUAAAUUUUAUAGUUUGGAAAUAAUAAAUUUUGAUUAAACUAGAAGGUCUUAUGUGUUAUCAUCUGAUUAGUCUAUAUCAAUUUAUUUUAAGAAUCAACUUGAUGAACCAAAGAUUCUGUUAACAGAGGAGCUUAAUUGAUGAUUUUAAUUAACAAAGGGAGAUCAAAACUAAAUUCCUUUAUUCAAACCUAACAAGACAAUGCCACCGCUUCCCUCUAUUUGAAAUUGGUUUCUAAAUAAUAAAAUCUAAUCACUUGAAUGUACCAAAUUUAAAACAACACAAAAAUUCAAAUGGAUAAAAUAAUUAAAGAAAUAAUAUCAACAAAUGUUUUAUAUUCUACAUUUAAAUAACUAUAAAUUUCGAACAUAAUUUAUAAAACGAGUAAAAAAUAAAGUUUAAUGAUAAAUUUGAUCAUUGAUGUUUGCAUAUUUUGUUAAAAUAAUUUUAAUUAUAUUUUUGAGCAUUUUUUAGCCAUCAACCUUUAAUAUAUUUUUUCAAAUUGCUUUUUCUAAUUGAUUUAAUAAAUAAAUUUAAGGUUUCAAAUUUUUUUCAAAAUGUUUCAAGAAUUAUUUUUUAAAAUAAUUAAAAUUUUUUUUAAAAUUAUGAGUUAUUUUUUUAAUUUAUUGUAUUAUUUUAAUUAUAAAGUAAUAAACUAUCUCUCAAUAUUUCAAUAUGAAAUUCCACAUAACUCCCGUUAAUUUCAUUAAAUCUGUUAAAAAAUAGUUUGAGAAAAAGAAAAAGAACAAAAAUUUAUAGCCUAAAAAGACUCAAAAAUAUAAUUAAAAUCAUUUAAUGUUAAUAGCCAAAUUUAUCAUUAAAUAAUAAUAAUAAUAAUAAUAAAACACCAACCUACACUGCAAUCUAGUCACUUUUCAAAGAGAAUUGCAAAUUAAGUUUGAUGAAACUACAAUACAAGGUUUAAAUAUAAUCCUAAUCCUUAAUCAAAGGAUAGUAAAAUAGAGAUUAAACCCUAUACCACAUUAUUAGUUUCGAAAAUGGAUCUAAUGAAACAUUUCCUUCAUAUUUAAUUAAAACUUAAACCUGAACCACUUAAUUUUUGCUGAGUUAUUUGGUCUAACUGUCUACUCAUUUCAGGCGUCAAAUCAUUCUUCCAAUCUCCAACCUUCCCUUUCCGAAAAUAUAUUUUGUUUUCGGUCUCCAGAUCUUACCCUUCACGAUGUUUCCCACUUUUAUUCACUUCCAAGUUGCUUAUAUUCUCGAAACUACACCCCUUUUUGCUGUUCCUCUGAUGAAAACGGACAACCCAUAAACUCUGCCAAUUUCUUAAGAUACAAAACAGUAUCUUCAUUCAUUUCUUCAUAUUUCAAGAACAUAAACUUGUCCGGAUGUCCCAAGCUUGCUUUCCAGUACCCCAGAACAUGGUCCCAAUAAGAUCCGUACCAACUUACGCCUUCACAAAAUAACUCAAACGCUUCAUCAAGUUCAAUGGGUUGAGUGUUUUGGGAUUUCGCAUACCUGGUAAAGAUGUGAUACAUUGAAACAAAUGUAUCCUUGGGGUCCCUGCA